ensembl:lncRNA
GCAUUUCAGAAAGUUCUCCAGUCUUUGCAACGAGACUCUGAAUAACGUCCGGUUGGGUCUUAUCUAGUCUGUUCUGCUUGCCUGGUUGAGUUCAGUUCUCAGACUGCUUUCUGCCUCUUUCCCUUUUCUUUCCCCUUUUAAAAGUAUGUAUUUCUUACAUCAUCUACAAUGAUUGUGUCAUGCUUAUUGUAUUAAUAGCACUUCACAUUUUCGAAGAAAAAGGACAAGAAAUGAUGUUAGUUUCUCCUGUAAUCUCAUUGGACUUUCAACUGAAGUGUGCUUUGACCAGAAAAUCACCACCAGAAAUGGAAACAGAUCUCUGUAGGUAUGGAGCACAUCAAAUACUAUUGCCUGGUUUGAUUUUCUAUUUCUGUUUACGUUAUCACUACCAUGAGACUGUUUUUUAAAGUUCCCCCGUGUCCUGUAGGAUAAGAUAGUAGCAUACUUCCCAUUUGGCUUUCAAGCAGUAAUUAAGCUGGGUUUAGUUUACCGUUUUAAUGAGGAGAACUCCCUACACAAUUCCCUGUAUCGUGCAUAAACACAGAUUCCUGUUUAUUCAGACAGAGAGAUCUGUUAGUGAUGUCUUAUGCUAACAUCUGUGUCUUGAAAUAAAACGAAGCUAUUUUUAAAAGUCCAUGAAUGAAUACAACGUGAAGGGAGGUUUAUGGACUAUUAAGCUGAUCAAAUGUUCAAGUGUAAACACCCAGGGAAAGAUGCCUGAGAUUAUUUAAUAUUCAGAAAAAUGUGAAUGCCUGGGAGAAAUAUUCCUGUGUGCAUUGAUGCAUUUUUUGUUCUACCCAUCCCUACACAAUAGAAGUCUGGUGGCAGCUUAAUGUUGGGUAUCUGGGAACAGAAUAAAGCUGAUACUGCCUGUUGUGUUCCUGUAGCCUGGAUGUAUAAGGAUGUGCAGCAGCCCCUCUGCAGGUUGUUUGGCUGGGCUGCUUUCCCUGGGAGACAGUGUGUUACUGAGAGGCAGACAGUGAGUGCCUCCAGCCCCGUGCUAUGUGUGGAUGGGGUGUUUGGGUCCUGCAGCUCUAAGCCCUUCAGGCUCCUGCGGGCAAUACAGCCUGCAAGGGCUGGGUGUGUUGGGUUCACGUGUGGGAGGCAGUGCAGGAGCAGAAAGUGAAAAUGCUUCAUUCCUGCAUGGACUGCCACAGAGCUGACCUGAAUUACAGCCCCUGCAUUGAAGCGACCACAGGGACUGCUCCAUGUCUAUUAUUUUCUAUGUCAUAAGGUGAGAAAAAGUGCUUCAUGAAGUGUUCUGUGGUGGAACUGCCUGGAUUUACUGCAACAGACAUGGCCAUCUUAAAUGGUGCUAGCUAUUCAGAAGAAUCCAUUUUUACCAAGCAAGUUGUUUAUUUUUACACAACAGAACAUUGAGAAAGCAUUUUCAAGUGGUAAUAAAUUCCCUGUGAAUGCAUGUGGCAAUGUCUGAGAAUAUUUUUAUUGAGACGGAAGCAUUAAAGUAAAAUACAGAACAGCUAAAUGUCAGAGUAUGGAGAGGGACAUUUACCAAUAAAAUAUAAAACCCACACACAGAAGAAAAGAAAAAGUUUUCUUCAAAGGCCUCUGUUGUAGAAUGUAUGUCUGUCUUCAUGAAACACAGCUUUAAGAACAGCUGCAAAACUAUGACAUGGUGACCCUCAAGCCCCAGCAUUUGCUAUAAGCAGAUGUUGAACUUAACAUUUUACUCAGUACAUUUCCACCAAGUACUGGUAGCCUUUUAAUAUAUCUAAUGCUAAUUUGUAUUUAUGGAGAUGUUUUUUGACAGUCUGAUAUGUUGUACAGUAUGAUAUGGCUGUAUACCUUUCUCAAAGUCCUGUAAAAACAGUGAAUUUGCAUUCUUCAUGAAACUGGGGCAUGUCCUGAGCAGGCACAACUUGACUUCAUAGUCAGUCGGCUCCAGUACCUUUGUUACACAUGAGUUUACCAAGAGCAUGUUGCUGAAAGGUCAACAGAUUGCUCAGUCUGGUCAAAACAUCGUUCCAAGUUUUAUAUUGCACAAGCUUUGCUCUUGAGAAAGGUCCCCUUGAGUGAUUCCCUUUUUAUAAGAAGUACAGUGCUGUUUUGCCACUGAAUUUUUAAUGCAUUUCUUCUUCCUGAAGUAUGUUGCUAAGACACACUACCUUGUUUUCCAUUCACCAUUCAAGCAACACUUCUACCAUACACUGGGAAAAUCACUUUGAGGAACGUGGGCUACCAACAUCAACACUGCUGAGCUGCUGUUCAUGACCACUUGUAGCACGAAUGUGUCCACCGAGGAGGUUGGAGUGUCAGUCUAUAUCAUCUGCCAUCUUUUGAGCUGAUGUCUCCAGGGGCCGCAGAGGGCUGUGUAUUCUCGUGAGAUGGACUGAGGAAGUCUUGUGAUGGCCUUGGGACAAACAGAAGAUGUGUGAGAAAUGUCUUCUAAUAGACCAAAGUUUCCUGCCUGGAAAGUCAAGGGAGUCAAGACUGCCAAGGAGUGGAGCAUCAGAAAAUAUAUACAGCCCAUGGAUCUCAUGUGGAGGAAGAACACUGUAAGACUGCUGUGACUGAUUUCUAGGGAUAACCACCCAGGAAACUGAUGCCGAGCUUACAGUGCAACUGCAAGUUGGUUGAGACAAGUCAGUGAAGAUAGUAAAGACAUGAAAGAUACAAAAAAGACACACAGAAAUCACACAGACUGAUGUGAUAGGGAGGGCUAGUGAGACAGAAAGUGAGAAGAAAACAGAAGAAAAAGUAAGACCUUCUGUUUCAUAUGCUUUAAGACUGCAAGGAAACAAUAUGAAAAAGUGAUUCUCUGACAAAUGAAAGCAACUCAAUAAGAAUGAAAGGUAAUGUGACAGUCUCUUUGGAUUGUUUUCACAAAACAUUUUGUCCAUUUAACAACAUACAUUAGUGCUGAUAGGAUGACUUGCUGCACAAAGUGGAGAAAGGUUGGGAAGAUUCAAAUGAAUUAAGCAGGGAAAGCUAGAGUAGUAGAGAGAGGAAAAAUCUAAAUAAAUCAGACUGAUUAAUUUCCAAAGCACGCAGGAUGUCUAUCACUAACUGCUAGGAUGUUCCAGCUCUUAAGACUUUAUUGAUACCUAUAAUUAGGGAGUUAAUUCAGUUGCUGCAGUUACUACCUGUCUUUUCUGUUUUCCUUUCUCUGCCAUGAUCUACACUAUAAUUGAACAAAUGUAUUGCAAUCUCACAUAUGGCAUUGUAUGCACCUGAAAUGGAACAGUGCAUCUCUCCCUAAAUACACCUAUUAACACCUGGUCUUUGAGAUUCAUUUCCAUCAUUUCAUGGGUCUUCCAUAACUCUAUAACAAACUACUUCUGAGGCAAUUCAUUAAAAAUCCUGGGCAUACUGGUACUCUGUAAAUGACUGCUGACGUGUGGCAGCAGCGUAACUGCAGUACCUUGUUCUCACCGAGGAUCUCAUCUGACUAACACAAUUUGUCAAACAACUCUCAUCAGAGAUACGUGUACAGAACUCAGGUCAUUUUGAGGCAUUCUGUAGCGGAGGCUCCUCUUCUGAGCCCUGUUUCUGACAACUGAGGUAAAGCUGAAAGGAAUUUUCUUUCUGGUUGUUCCAUCACCAGGCAGAUAGCUGAAGGGAACAGCUCUUGAUGCAGUUCCACCUCUGGCAGCUCAGGCCCUCUUAUAUCCCAGUGCUGGCUCUCUCCUCUGUUGGUCAAAAGAGCAGAUCCAUUUCUUCCUUUUCCACUUCUUACGGUACCUGGAGCAUAUCAUUCCUACAGUCGCAUAAUCUUACUAUAUGCACAAAGGAAUCUAGUGGUUUUCCUAAUAUCAGCAUCUAUCUUUCAGUUAUUAUAGUUUCUCCAGUGAACUGUGGUUGAGGAGUGCAACUGGCUGACAGGUCGAGGUUUUCCCACAGGGAUCUUUAAAUUAGGUAAAGUUAGAAGAUGAAGUUAGGUGAACAGUUUUUCUUUUCUGCAUGUUUUCCAUUUAGUCUUGGCUAAAAGUGCAUCCCAGAAUGUGUUCGUGUCUUUGCUGUAAGUUGCAUUCCUUUUGUUUGGGCUGCUGACUCACCCUCCUAAACUAAGUCAAGAUGUGGGAAUGGUUAGUGAAGGCUGCCCAUUAGGCUAUUAGUAAAAAGACAAGGGAUUGAGUUUUAUAGCAAGUGACAAAGGAGUUGAGCCCAGAUUGACAGUUUUAUUUCUUGUCAUUGAAGAGAAGUUUCUGACUGUUGCACAUUCCUUUUGUAAGCUUAUUCAUCACGGGCUGACUCUCUGUUGCUCUGAAGUAGAACUGAAUUGGGCAAGCACACAGAAAGACUGAAGGUUUCCUUCCACACAAAUCAAAUAAUAACUUGGGAGUGAAGUGGAAGGAGAAAAGCUGUUGCUGUGAUUCCCAUGUGGUGUCCUUUCUAGGAAGAAUAUGUGAUUCCACUGUCCAUAUUGCCUCCUUCUGAUCAACAGUCAAACAAUAUAUAGAGAAGGGGAGGUGGCUGCAUGCUUCAGACUUUCUGCAUGUGAUUUUAUUUUCCAUUUAAAAGUUACUGAAAUACAGCACACAAAGAACAAAGUUCUUUUAAGAGUGGCAGAAGACAGAUGGUGCCAUUUUUCAGCUGGGGAAGUUUCUGUGAAACAAGGCUCAUUCCUCAGAAUGUUCUUCACAACAGGGUGAAGAUUUUUGUAUUUCAUACAUAAUCCAUCUGCAGUGGUUUGUUUUUCUCCUCCGCAAAGAGAUCAUAGGCUCAUAUUAAUCUUUUCCUGGGUAGAAUAAGCAAAUAAAUUCAUUCCUUCCCUAGCUAAAACACAGAAGUCUUUAUCCCUCAUACUGAAAAGCAGAUAAAUUUGUAAUUUUCCAUGCACACAUCCUCUAUUAUUUGGAAGCAUUUAGGUGCACACCAAUGGCUUAAACAAAUGAAACAAUUAUUUAAACGUGUUUCCUAGGAAUUCUAGGUUGUUUUUUUGAUUUGGGUACAGGAGAUAUAGGGGGCAGAGAGUUACGUCAUUGAAUUUACAGACUGUACAUUGGUCUUCCAAAUUGACAUGAUAUUGUUGAAUCUAAGCAUAUAAUACAGCCAAAAGAUACUUCUUUACCUUGCAGAGCAUAAAUUACAACUAGGUGAUCUUCUUGUGUUUAAGUAGUGCUUUGCACAUGCAGAAUUCAGGCCAAUAAGUUAUACUGCUUCCAAGUUCAUGUGAGUGUUUAGGUAUCUUGCUGGGUUAUUGCCUUUGGAAAGUCAAAUGCUUCCCGACAGCAAUACUCUUCUGUUACAAUAAAUGCAUGCAAAACUUUGUUUUCCUGAAGAUAGUAUAGCACAGGAAGGGACAACUUUCUUACUUCACAGAGAACAAUUUGAAAGAAGACCUUCUUGGCUUUUCCUCCAUGAAACACUCUCAUUUCUUGUCUCUCUUUCUGAUCCUGGCUAUUUGUAAUGUAUAGACACAGCAUACACUUCUCCAGAAGUGUAUAUCUCCAUCUUGCUACUAUUAUGACACAAAAAAGUUAAUCACAUAUAAUAGCUGGUUAUAUUAGGGGUUUGAGGUUUUUUGCAGGUUGGUGUCAUGCUGAUCUCUAGGUUCCUUACUACCUUUGUAAAACCCUGCUUUUCUGAUAGAGUUUUCUUUGUAAUUAUUUUUUUUAAGAGCACCUUAAUGACAUGUGGUUUUCCUUGAUGCUGAAGCCUGCAGCUAAAAUGUCAUAGCUCUAUUUUGUUCACCUUUUUUUUUCCCAAUUCCAUUAUAAUUUCACAAUUUCAUGAUUUACAUUAUACUCAGUAAGAUAUCUUUAUCUUGGUUUCAUUCAAUCUUCUUAAGACAGGAAUCUGGUAUUUGUAAUUGUGCUUUUCUUCUCCUUUCUGUCUUAUUUUAAUUUGCCGAAAGGCCCCAGAAGAACCAGUUUGUCUCUUGACACCCUGCUUAGAGGCAAGACAGAAAAGAACGCACUUCAAGGCCACAUGGUCACCUUAUCCUCCUAAAUCAGGCCAGACUACAGGCAGAGCUUAGUGGGAAAAAAUCACAGCACUAAGAGCACUUUGCUCACAAACCUAGGUGUUAUAUCUGCAGUAGCAGGGCUGUCACUGCCUUUGAACACGUUGCCCUUUCUCAAAGAGCACGUCUCGAAGGCAGUUCUCAAAAUCUCUACACUAACUCUGCACAAAGCUUGAAGAACGUAAAAUCUCCUCACCUUUACAACCUCUCUUGACUUGGAGAUACGUGGACCAUCAAUCAAUCAUUUCACUGCUAGCUGUAGGUUUUACACUGUUUCCAAUGUCAUUGCAAGAGCUACUGCAAGCACUGCUCUCUGGUCAUUUUAGUUAAUAAAGGUUUCAGAGGCCUUGCUCCAUCUCAUGCUCAGAGGGAUGCAGUUUAUUGUUCUUCAGAGAGAAGUGGGGGUUCCAAAUAUUAUUUUCUUUUACAGAAUCACAUAUUCUAUUCUUUUUUCUUUCUUUUUUCUUUUUUUAAUCUCUUGUAGUGAUCUCCUCAAGCUUGUGGGCUGGAAACCAUUAGGCUGCUUGUUUUUGGGCCUCUCAAACAGAACUAACUCUUCGUCUUCCCUUGAUCUACUGCAAUCCCUUCUUUCUGUUCCUUCAGUCAUCACUGUGGGCUUUGCUCUCUCUGUAGGGUUUUUCUUGAUGGAAGCUGAGGACCUUCAAUCAGAGAAAUGCUGUAGUAGUGCACGUGUAGCUCAUGCACGCAAAUUGAAGUACCCCAGCCCUGCGUGUUGUGUAUGCUUACAUUGCACCUCUUUAGAGGUUCAUGAUAUGUGAAAGAAACAAUAGUCUAAAUAUUUCCAAAGCCUUACCUUAAUUCCUCUCUAUUUAAUUUACUUAUACUCUUUACAUUAUUCCUCACUUUCUUUCAUAAAAGGACGUCCUACCCACAGGAAGGUGUAAGACUGUACACACGUUUUUUUUUUCCUACUUAUAUUUCUGAUUUUGUUUCUUAUUUUCUGAGUUCAGGUGAGAUUCCUCAGCAUGUCUAUCAUCUUUCCUCUGCAAGCAAAUCCCUCUGCCAGACCCUGGGUCUCUCUAUUCCUUUCAGAGCCAUUUCCGUUCAUUGCAUUAGUGGCACAUCCCACUCCUGCAGAGGACCUGCUGUGCUCCAUUCAACCUGAUAUGUUAAGAAGUUCUCUUAAGCAGCCCAAACCCACAGAUAUGUCUAGACAUUUAGUUCUGUGGAAGAUAAAAAACAAACUUAAAAAAUAUCCAAAGAGUCAGGGAAAAAUUGAGCCCAAUAUGUUGAAAUCUGGAAGGAAAGAAGAACAACAUAAUGGCAACCAGAAGUUUUCAACUAUUUCUUUUCAGCUCAGCUCCUCAGCAAUAAACCCAUGAUUUAUUCCCUAUGCCAGUUUUCAGGAUUUGGCCAAGAAGAUGAAAUUUGAAAUGAAUUAAGCUAGCAUAGUUUUAUUUCAGCCACUGAAUCACUUUUAUCUGCCUGCUUAUUUGUAUGGCUCCAUUCAUCACUGUACAUGUAAACCUCUGAAAUAAUUAUGGGUUCAUAAUGACAACACUUCUUCAAGGUGGAGAAUUAUUAUGAACAUAGUGUAACUGGGGAACCAAUGUGCAGAAAAAUUAACUUCUUGCUCAAGGUCAAGUAUGGAGUUUCAGAGACUCAGUCCCUAUUCACUGACUUCACUCCCCCAUUUCUACAGGUUUAUAUAUAUCUGCCUUUUUGCUUUUGAGUGUUUUAUAACUAUUAAAUGACUGAUGAAUAGCAUUUCAUUCAUUUAUUUUAAAAACAUCUCAAAAUAUUUGGUCCUCCUGACAGACAUGCUGAGUUGGGAUGCUUUGGCAUAUGAAUCACAAAUUUCUUGUAUUAAAUGACUGCAGUUUAUAACCCUGCUCUUCCAAGGGACAUAUACUAUUUUUUUCCUGAUGGAACCACCAGGGAAAAAAAAAAAAAGAAGAGUAGGUAUUUAUAUCCAAACUAAGACUGAGAAGUCAGGUGGUUCUGGUAUCUGAACUUCCUAUAUCUUUCUGUUGCUGUAUAAGCCAGUUAUCUUACUGUGCUGCUCUGCAUGUUUCUUUAUACUUCAUCACAUAUCCAAUUGUCAUUAAGUGAUAACAACUGAAUGUGAAAGAUUGCAACUAUAAUAAAAAGUGGAAUGACCUACUUUCUAACACCGUUGUUUCCAAUCCACUGCAGACUGAAACAUUAAAAAAUAGUUAUUAAAAACAAACAAUCAAAAAAGUAGUAUUAACAUGGAGUUUCUGGAUUCUCUAGAAAGGGAGCUCUAAAGGAAACAUAUGGAGACAUGUAAAUAAAAUUUCUUCUUUUGUUCAAAGGUUGGAUCACAAAAUGUCAUGAAAAAAUUUCUACCCUUAAUAUAUUCAUUUUUAGAAAUUGAAAAAGGGACUGAUUGAAAAUAUUUGAAAAAAAAAAAGCAAAUGCUUGAUUCUGUCAGAAAAAUGAAAAAAUGCAAAACAUUAUAUUUAUUACAAAAACUAAAUAAAAUUUAGUAAGAAGCAGAAUAGUAUUUUCUCUAUUCAGCAAUGUUAGCCUUACUUUCCAGAGGUUACAGCAUUCAAUUACAGUGCAGUAUAAAAAACAGACAUACCUUCUCCAAUCAGUUUUAAAUAGCAAUUACAACUAUUUCUGUUAGAAACUGGUUGAAGCUGUUCUGCUUUUUAGAGCCAUGUAGGGUCUGAAAAGGUCUCCAAGUAUUCACAUUCUUCCCUGAUCAUGACUGAGUGUUUGACUACAGUGUCAUUUUGUUUCUUUUUCUGGCUUGGACAACAUCAGCA